rnacentral:rRNA from 1 species
AUUGAACGCUGGCGGCAGGCCUAACACAUGCAAGUCGAGCGGUAGCACAGGGAGCUUGCUCCUGGGCGACGAGCGGCGGACGGGUGAGUAAUGUCUGGGAAACUGCCUGAUGGAGGGGGAUAACUACUGGAAACGGUAGCUAAUACCGCAUAACGUCGCAAGACCAAAGAGGGGGACCUUCGGGCCUCUUGCCAUCAGAUGUGCCCAGAUGGGAUUAGCUAGUAGGUGGGGUAACGGCUCACCUAGGCGACGAUCCCUAGCUGGUCUGAGAGGAUGACCAGCCACACUGGAACUGAGACACGGUCCAGACUCCUACGGGAGGCAGCAGUGGGGAAUAUUGCACAAUGGGGGAAACCCUGAUGCAGCCAUGCCGCGUGUGUGAAGAAGGCCUUCGGGUUGUAAAGCACUUUCAGCGGGGAGGAAGGCGGCAAGGUUAAUAACCUUGUCGAUUGACGUUACCCGCAGAAGAAGCACCGGCUAACUCCGUGCCAGCCGCCGCCGUAA